rnacentral:lncRNA from 1 species
CACUCUCUCCUGGAAAGGCGGUUGUGAUCGCUCCUACUCCCCCCAACACUCUCCUGGAAAGGCGGAUGUGAUCGCUCCUACUCCCCAACACUCUCUCCUGGAAAGGUGGAUGUGAUCGCUCCUACUCCCCAACACUCUCUCCUGGAAAGGCGGAUGUGAUCGCUCCUACUCCCCAACACUCUCUCCUGGAAAGGCGGAUGUGAUCGCUCCUACUCCCCCCAACACUCUCUCCAGGAAAGGUGGGUGUGAUCGCUCCUACUCCCCAACACUCUCUCCAGGAAAGGUGGGUGUGAUCGCUCCUACUCCCCAACACUCUCUCCAGGAAAGGUGGGUGUGAUCGCUCCUACUCCCCAACACUCUCUCCUGGAAAGGUGGGUGUGAUCGCUCCUACUCCCCAACACUCUCUCCUGGAAAGGCGGAUGUGAUCGCUCCUACUCCCCCCAACACUCUCUCCUGGAAAGGCGGAUGUGAUCGCUCCUACUCCCCAACUCUCCUGGAAAGGCGGAUGUGAUCGCUCCUACUCCCCAACACUCUCUCCUGGAAAGGCGGUUGUGAUCGCUCCUACUCCCCAACACUCUCUCCUGGAAAGGCGGAUGUGAUCGCUCCUACUCCCCAACACGCUCUCCAGGAAAGGCGGAUGUGAUCGCUCCUACUCCCCAACACUCUCUCCUGGAAAGGCGGUUGUGAUCGCUCCUACUCCCCCCCAACACUCUCUCCUGGAAAGGCGGAUGUGAUCGCUCCUACUCCCCCCAACACUCUCUCCUGGAAAGGCGGAUGUGAUCGCUCCUACUCCCCAACACUCUCUCCUGGAAAGGCGGAUGUGAUCGCUCCUACUCCCCAACACUCUCUCCUGGAAAGGCAGAUGUGAUCGCUCCUACUCCCCAACACUCUCUCCUGGAAAGGCGGAUGUGAUCGCUCCUACUCCCCAACACUCUCUCCAGGAAAGGCGGAUGUGAUCGCUCCUACUCCCCAACACUCUCUCAUGGAAAGGCGGAUGUGAUCGCUCCUACUCCCCAACACUCUCUCCUGGAAAGGCGGUUGUGAUCGCUCCUACUCCCCAACACUCUCUCCUGGAAAGGCGGAUGUGAUCGCUCCUACUCCCCAACACUCUCUCCUGGAAAGGAGGAUGUGAUCGCUCCUACUCCCCAACACACUCCUGGAAAGGCGGAUGUGAUCGCUCCUACUCCCCAACACUCUCUCCUGGAAAGGCGGAUGUGAUCGCUCCUACUCCCCCCAACACUCUCUCCAGGAAAGGUGGGUGUGAUCGCUCCUACUCCCCCCAACAUUCUCCUGGAAAGGCGGAUGUGAUCGCUUCUACUCCCCAACACUCUCUCCUGGAAAGGUGGGUGUGAUCGCUCCUACUCCCCAACACUCUCUCCAGGAAAGGUGGGUGUGAUCGCUCCUACUCCCCAACACUCUCUCCUGGAAAGAGUUAGGAGAGUGACAGAUUGAUCGCAUUGCACAUUUUUAAUGCAUUGAAUUUGUAACUUCAUGGGCGGAACAUAGUCCAGUGGUAAAGUGUUUGCUUGAUGACUGGUCGGUUGGGAUCGAUCCCCAUCGGUGGACUCAUUAGGCUAUUUCUCGUUCCAGCCAGUGUAUGUACUAUCCUGUCUGUGGAUCCCUUGCUAUCAAAAAGAAUAGCCCAUGAAGUGGCGACAGCGAAUUACCUCCCUAAAUAUCUUUGUAGUCCAUAACCAUAUGUCCGACACCAUAUAACCAUAAAUAAAAUGUGUUGAGUGCAUCGUUAAAUAAAACAUUUCCUUCUUUGAAACUUCAUUUGAUUCACCUACCUCCCCUCACUUCAGGAGAGUGACCUUCAGCUCACCUACCUCCCCUCACUUCAGGAGAGUUACCUUCAGCUCACCUACCUCCCCUCACUUCAGGAGAGUGACCUAAUGGUGUGGUCUAUCACAUAUUAAAGGGGGAGUAUUUAUCUUUCUAAAAAUUAUAAAACUUUGUGGUAACUUGAUUCGUCUUGUGAAGAAGACAUCAACCAUUCUAGCUUAGUGUGACUUGUGAGAUGUUUAUGGACCACGUCUUUUGACAGUGUACUGAAGUUGUAAUCACCAUCUCAGUUUGAAGGAUGUGAUUUUAGUUUACUGCCCUUUCACUCUGUACUAAGAUCAGCUUAGAGAGAAACGACUCUUUCACUUUUAAUACUGCUUAAUUUUCUAGUGUAACUGAUGGGACAAAAACUUGAGACUGACGAGAUGAUAUCCCUACAAAACCAUAAAACAUUUUUGUGA